UACGAAGGGGGCUAGCGUUGUUCGGAAUUACUGGGCGUAAAGCGCGCGCAGGCGGUCUUCCAAGUCAGUGGUGAAAGCCCGGAGCUCGACUCCGGAAUUGCCAUUGAAACUGUGAGACUGGAGUACGAGAGAGGUGAGUGGAAUUCCCAGUGUAGAGGUGAAAUUCGUAGAUAUUGGGAAGAACACCGGUGGCGAAGGCGGGUCAGCAUCG
rnacentral:rRNA from 1 species